rnacentral:rRNA from 1 species
CAGCAGCCACGGUAAUACGGAGGGAGCUAGCGUUGUUCGGAAUCACUGGGCGUAAAGCGCACGUAGGCGGCUAUUCAAGUCAGAGGUGAAAUCCCGGGGCUUAACCUCGGAACUGCCUUUGAAACUAGGUAGCUAGAAUCUUGGAGAGGCGAGUGGAAUUCCGAGUGUAGAGGUGAAAUUCGUAGAUAUUCGGAAAGAACACCAACGGCGAAAGCACUCUGCUGGGCCGACACUGACACUGAGAGACGAAAGCUACGGGAGCAAAUGGGAUUAGAUACCCCAGUAGUCCCUGUCUCUUAUA